rnacentral:rRNA from 1 species
CCGCCCGUCACACCAUGGGAGUGGGUUGCAAAAGAAGUAGGUAGCUUAACCUUCGGGAGGGCGCUUACCACUUUGUGAUUCAUGACUGGGGGGAAGUCGUAACAAGGUAACCGUAGGGGAACCUGCGGUUGGAUCACCUCCUUACCUUAAAGAA